CUUUCAAGUAAAAUAAAUAAAUCUUGAAAAAAAAUAAAUUGGCUAGGAGAUAUAACUGGAUAGAAGGUAUCACUGUAUUCAUUUAUCUUCUAGCCUACAAGA
ensembl:snoRNA